UACGUAGGGGGCAAGCGUUGUCCGGAUUUAUUGGGCGUAAAGAGCGUGUAGGCGGCCAGGUAGGUGGGUUGUGAAAACUGGAGGCUCAACCUUCAGAGGUCGACCCAAACCCCCUGGCUAGAGUCCGGAAGAGGAGAGUGGAAUUCCUGGUGUAGCGGUGAAAUGCGCAGAUAUCAGGAAGAACACCCGUGGCUAAGGCGGCUCUCUAGUACGGUACUGACGCUGAGACGCGAAAGCGUGGGGAGCGAACAGG
rnacentral:rRNA from 1 species